UUGUGGGUUUUCUUUUGUUUUAUUUAGACUUACAUAUUCUGAAUAAUUACUAAUUAAAGAUUCUUUAAUUUUUCUAAAAGCUUCUCUAUUUUUAAAUGGUCUUCGCAUAAUUAAUUAAUUAUAAGUAAAAUUUUUUAACUCUAAAUCUAAUUUUAACUCUAACAUGUAUAUUCUAACUCUAAUAUAUAUCUCUUCCGUACUUUUUAAAUUACUGGGCUCUGAUACCAUUUGUAGGGGGUGCGC
rnacentral:lncRNA from 1 species